GCUUGUUCUCAGGGCAGGGUGAAACUCCCGACCGGCGGUAACACGACCUUUGGCACCCUGUGCCGAACCGUGCAGCCCGCGAGCGUCCGUCCGGUCUUCCGGGCGGGGUCAGCAGAUCUGGUGCAAAGCCAGAGCCGACGGUAACAGUCCGGAUGAAAGAGGAUGAGC
rnacentral:ncRNA from 2 species